rnacentral:rRNA from 1 species
CAGCCGUAAACAAUGUGCGUUAGGUGUGUCGGUAACCACGUGUUACUGAUGCGCCGAAGAGAAAUCGUGAAACGCACCACCUGGGAAGUACGGCCGCAAGGCUGAAACUUAAAGGAAUUGGCGGGGGAGCACCACAACAGGUGGAGCCUGCGGUUUAAUUGGAUUCAACGCCGGACAUCUCACCGGAUAAGACAGCUGAAUGAUUGUCAAUCUGAAGGUUUUACAUGACUAGCUGAGAGGUGGUGCAUGGCGUCAGUGACU